rnacentral:lncRNA from 1 species
UCAUCCUCAAAGUAAUGCAACAACAAUUUGAGAGGAUUCAACUAGCUAUUGGCAACAUGAAUGAGAAACUAGAGAAACAACAACGUGAGUUAAAUUCCAUGAGAGGGGAAGCUUCCCAAACCAAUCCAGGGGCAAGAAGACUUCCAACACCAUAUUUUGAUGAGGAACUGGAGGAAGAAUUUGAUGACCAAGCUACUUUGGUCAAUGAAGAUCGAAAUUAUGAUAGGGGUCGAAACGAUCUUGGUAAAAACAUUAGGAGC